rnacentral:sRNA from 2 species
ACCAGGGAGGAUAACGUUGCUUCAGCAACGGCCCGCAGGGCGAGGCGCAGCCGAGUAAUCCUCCCGGAUGCACCA